rnacentral:rRNA from 1 species
ACUCCUACGGGAGGCAGCAGUAAGGAAUAUUGCGCAAUGGGCGACAGCCUGACGCAGCGACGCCGCGUGGGGGAUGAAGGUCUUCGGAUUGUAAACCCCUUUCGGCAGGGAAGAUGGAACGGGUAACCGUUCGGACGGUACCUGCAGAAGCAGCCACGGCUAACUUCGUGCCAGCAGCCGCGGUAAUACGAAGGUGGCAAGCGUUGUUCGGAUUUACUGGGCGUACAGGGAGCGUAGGCGGUUGGGUAAGCCCUCCGUGAAAUCUCCGGGCCUAACCCGGAAAGUGCGGAGGGGACUGCUCGGCUAGAGGAUGGGAGAGGAGCGCGGAAUUCCCG